GACGAACGCUGGCGGCGUGCCUAAUACAUGCAAGUAGAACGCACAGUUUAUACCGUAGCUUGCUACACCAUAAACUGUGAGUUGCGAACGGGUGAGUAACGCGUAGGUAACCUGCCUGGUAGCGGGGGAUAACUAUUGGAAACGAUAGCUAAUACCGCAUAAUAUUGAUUAUUGCAUGAUAAUUGAUUGAAAGAUGCUAUUGCAUCACUACCAGAUGGACCUGCGUUGUAUUAGCUAGUAGGUGAGGUAACGGCUCACCUAGGCGACGAUACAUAGCCGACCUGAGAGGGGGGUCGGCCACACUGGGACUGAGACACGGCCCAGACUCCUACGGGAGGCAGCAGUAGGGAAUCUUCGGCAAUGGACGAAAGUCUGACCGAGCAACGCCGCGUGAGUGAAGAAGGUUGUCGGAUCGUAAAGCUCUGUUGUAAGAGAAGAACGGGUGUGAGAGUGGAAAGUUCACACUGUGACGGUAGCUGACCAGAAAGGGACGGCUAACUACGUG
rnacentral:rRNA from 1 species